AGGGUAUCCAUCUCUUUCUGAUCUGAUGUAUCAAAGCCCAGCUCCACAAAUCUCCCUCCACUGACACCUGGCACUGUCCUGCUCGGAGAGGACAGUUCAUUUGUUCUGAUUAUGCCAGUGUCCAUUGUCUGUGACCUGUGGCCUUUGUCUGUGACCAUCUUGUGGCCACUGAGGCACACACUCAACCUGAAUCUGGUCCUCCAUUACUAACUCAGCUAAGGCUGGGUUUUCCCUGUGUUCUGUUUUGUGUGAGGACAUGCUGGGGUAUCACAUGUGCUUUCCCUGCCAUGUCUGGUACCACUAUGGCAGAAGGAAAAGGAGCUGAUGACCACAUGUCUACCGCAUUGGCAGCCCUGUGCCAUUUGUUCUUCUCCCUGGGCUUCUCUCCCUCCUCUCUCUCUCUGCCGUGUGACUCCAGGUUGGAUGUGUCCAUGGCUGUCUUGAAGCAGAGUGGCUAUGAUGACCGAUGGGAGGCCCUCACGAGACCCUUGUGGAGGUGGAAGGCCGAUGAAAGACUCUCAGGAGGCCUUCAGAGGACCUCAUGAAGAUAUGUAAGAGGAGCUGCAGGAUGACGCUGGCUUUACAAGAGGAAACAAGUUCGGGUCACAGGUGUCUGUGAGGUACCACCACCCAACCACCGCUAAGCCCCAUUAAAACCACUCUUUAUUGAUUUAUGUAAGUACCUAAUGUUUUCCUCACAAAAGUAAGCCCUUGACCACAGAAAAGGCUGCAAAACCAAGUAGUGCUAUUAACAGGCAUGCCAACCACAGCAGGCACUCGCGGGGGAGAAGCAGGGUGGGUUACUCUACCAGACCUCUAUGUCUUCAUGGAACUUGGCUCAUCUUCUCAGGGGAGAGGGUGAGUUUCAGAUAUCACAGAGGUAGAGAUGAGCCCCUGGGUACCCUGACAGAACAGAGCUGUGCUGUAUCCCUUUCUUGUCUAGUGGGAGUUGACAAACUCUUUAGAGCACAGCACCCUAGGAAGUCAACCCACCUUAUACCUGCACCUCAGAGUACAAAGAGACAUCUCUGAAGGUCUGAAUGGUCCUUGUUGUGUUCUAGCCUCCUGGGCCUAAGCACCACUUUUUGUUUACAGUACGGGUCUUCUACCACCAGCAACGUUUGCACAAAACAAAAACCCUGGAGGCUGGAGACAGCUCAGUUGAUCAAGUUCUUGCUGUACAAGCAGGAGGCUGAAAAUACUCCCCAGAACCAGGGAGAAACAAGAAGCCUUUGACUUCUGCAGAGGGGAGCAGAGAAGAGCUCCUGAGAGCCUUGGUGGUAUCCCCUGAACUCAGAGUACAAGAGCCUUUGGACUUGGAGACUCCUCUUUCAGGGAUUUGUUC
rnacentral:lncRNA from 1 species